GGCUGCAUGGUCUUUGGCUAGGCCGUGGCUCAGAAGAUCUCACAGAUAAAACUCCUUGCCAGGUCUGGGAAGCUACUUUCCUUGGACGGCAGUAGAGUGGCCACAGGGCUGAGUCAGAUAACACUGGCAUCUUCUGGGAGCUGGAGUCAUCAUGGAGAUCAAGCCAAAUGAUGUCAGACCACUUCAUAAAUGGGAAUUGACUUGGCAGAUGGUGUUGGACAAUUCCUGUUAAACAUCCCAAGUAGUCUCCAGGGCCACGUCUGGAAUUUAGAUAUAACAGAUUUCCUGGGACACAGAGCUGAGUCAUAUUUAUAGUUACUAAUGAUCUAUGUGUCAGGACGACACUGAAAAUAUUAAUCACUGCACAGCAGCCACCUCUAGAUGUGGCUUUUGGAAAACUUAAUUUGUUGUCACCCUGGAGGUGGCCCCUUCUUGGUAGCACCUGGUCCCUUUCUGCUCACUUUUUGCUGGGAGCCAGAAUCCACUAAGGAAAUGCCCCAUGUUCAAAGCCAAGUUUGGUUUAUUACCAUUGCAGCAUUGCACAGAUGCCUAACUUCUGAGCUAGUUUCAACUUAGGAAUUGGUCGGAUAUACUUCCUAGGGAAUCCAUGAAAUAAUAAAUUCUGAUAUGAAGGAGGUACAUGAUGAAUUGAUGAGUUGUUUUCUUGGGCCUAGUAGAGUGGUAGGCAGUAUGUCUGUUUUAUAAUCCAGGAACCUGAGGUCCCCUUGGUCCUGAAUUGAGCUCCGUUUAGGAAGGCAUGUGUGUGCACAUUCACUUGGUCCACUGCUGGAGGUGGGUCUGAGGCAAAGCAGUGUUUCAUGUGUGCGCAACUGAUCCAGGGAGAAGUCUGUGUCCUCUGGUGGGCUUGGACAGUGAGUGGGUAGCAGGGCCUCUUGAUCUGCCCAAGGCUGCUGAGAACAGGCUGUGCCCUUGGCCCUCUCUGUUGAACCCCUUUGAUCAGAGUGGAAAAUUUCUGAUUGUUAAAUGGAAGCUGUGGGUGUUGAAAAAUAAAAA
rnacentral:lncRNA from 1 species